AGAAAAAGAGAGAAAAAAAGAGUGAAACAAGAAAAAAGAAAGACUGGUGGUAAAGGAAAAGAAAUCACAACACACUUCCCCUUUUGAGAAUCACAUUCGUUCUGGACCACUUGAUUUCCAUCACGGAUUGAUUCCUAAAAGAUAAGUACAUUCUGUGCUGCAUAGUGAUCGUUUUUGACCAGCAGUUGAUUGUGGAUUUUGUUUGCUUCACAAGCGUUUCAAUGUGUUGUUAUGAUAAGGUGGUAGUGUCGGAGCAAUGGAGUACAUUUUAAUUUAUUUGCUUUGGUGCCCAUCUCUCUCUCCCAUUGUUGACAGUUUUCUAUGAUAACAGUAUGUGAUAUACUGGCAGUUAUGAGUUUAUUACCAUGAAAGUAAUUCUUUAUCAUGAAGAUUCAUCUGCAAUAGGAUUUAUUACUACAGGAUUCUCCAUCAUCUAAAGCAAUAGAGGUUUUCUGGGGAGGUAUUUAGCUCCAUCUCCUUCUCUCCCUUCCUCUCUUUUUCUCUCUCCCUCCUUCUCUUUUAAUCUGCCCCUCUAUCUUUCCGUCUCUCGCUCUCUGUCCGCCUCUGUCUCUCUCGCUUUCUCUUCCUCUCUUCCUUGUCAUUUAUUUAUCCUACUCUCUUUCUCUCUCCCACUCUCCUCUCUAUUCCUUUCCUACCCCUCACAGUGCAGCUACGUUGUUUUCCUCGUCAAUUUCUCCAGAUAGUUUUAUUACCAUACAGUAAUAACUCCCUAGGGGACAACUCAGUCUGGCACAUUAACAGUUAAAAUAUAUGACAGGUAAUCACUUCUUCCUUCUAAUUAGUGCUCUCCUCCAUCUAUCUAUCCUUUUUUCCUUCCCUCUUUCCUUUGUUUCUCAUAUUCUCUUUAAAAAUAGCAAUAAUAUAAUAUUUAAUAAUAAAAUACAUGCCAUUUAGCAGACACUUUUAUCCGAAGCGAUUUACAGUCAUGAAUGCAUACAUUUUACGUAUGGGUGGUCCCAGGAAUUGAACCCACUAUCCUGGCUUUGUAACUUGCAGGUGCCAUGCUUUAUCAACUGAGCUACAGAGCACCAGUGUUCUAUAUUCAACACUUUAAUAAUUCAAGUUUAAUACUGAUCCCCAUCAGAUUGGCACAUUAAUAGUUCAACUGUAUGACAGACAGGCAAUAAGAUGUUAAUCAUUGCCUCUAUUGAACACUUUCUGCUUCACUUCCUCACCCCUCUUUUAUUAAACCAUCUCUCUCUCCUCUUAGGUGUGGCGUCAUUAUUCCCAAAUAUGAAUGCUUUGUAUAGAAUGGCAUGCGAAGAGUUUCACUAGCACAGACUGGAAUAUGUUCCAUGAUUCAUCCGAUAACAUUGAGGAGUUUACCUUCAAUCACAGUGACCGUACAUAUCCCAAACAGAAGCCAUGGAUUACAGGCAAUAUCCACACGGAACUGAAGGCUAGAGCUGCAGCUUUCAAGUCUAAUCUGAACACUUAUAAUAAAUCCCGCUACAACCUCCGACGAGCCAUCAAACAGGCAAAGAGUCGAUACAGGACAAAGAUCGAAUCCUAUGCUGGCUCUGAAGCUCGUCGGAUGUGGCAGGGCUUGCAAACUAUCCCAAAUUACAAAUGGUAACCCAGCCGCAAGUUGCCCAGUGACGCGAGCCUACCAGACAAGCCAAAUGCCUUUUAUAUUCGCUUCGAGGCAAGCAACACUGAACCAUACAAGAGAGCACCAGCUGUUCCAGACAACUGUGUGAUCUCGUUCUCCGUAGCCUAUGUGAGUAUGACCUUUAAACAGGUUAAUAUUCACAAGGCCUUGGGGACAGAUUGAUUACCAGGAUGUGUACUCAGAGCAUGCUGACCCUCAACACGAGGGCCCCUCCUGUACUCCCUGUUCACCAAUGACUGUGUGGCCACGCACAACACCAUCAUAACAUUUGCUAACGACAUGACAAUAGUAGGCUUGAUUACCAACAAUGAUGAGACAGCCUAUAGGGAGGAGGUCAGUGACCUGGCAGUGUGGUGCCAGGACAACAACCUUUCCCUCAACAUCAGCAAGACAAAGGAGCUGACCGUGGACUACGGGAAACGGAGGGCCGAGCAUGCCCCCAUCCACAUCGACAGGGCUGUAGUGGAGCGGGUCGAGAGCUUAAUGUUCCUCGGUGUCCAUAUCACUAAGGAGUUAACAUGGUCCACACACACACCAACACAGUUGUGAAGAAGGCAGGCAAACCCCUCUUCCCCCUCAGGAGGCUAAAAAGAUUUGGCAUUGGCCCUCAGAUCCUCAAAAAGUUAUUCAGCUGCAACGUUGAGAGCAUCUUGACUGGCUGCAUCCCCGCUUGGUAUGGCAACUGCUUGGCAUCCGACCGCAAGGCGCUACAGAGGGUAGUGUGUAUGGCCCAGUACAUCACUGGGGUCGCUCCCUGACAUCCAGGACCUCUAUACUAGAAGGUGUCAGAGGAAGGACCUAAAAAAACAAAAGGCAAGCAGUACCGAUGCAUCAUGUCUGGAACCAACAGGACCCUGAACAGAUUUUACCCCCAAGCCAUAAGAGAGCCAAAUAGUUAACCAAUAGCUACCCGGACUAUCUACAUUGACCCCCUUAGCACUAACUACUUGAAUCAUCACGUACACUGCUGCUACUGCAUAUUAUCUAUCCUUUUGCCAAGUCACUUAACCCUACCUAUAUGCACAUACAGUAUUUACCUCAAUUACCUCGUACCCCUGUAAACAUCGACUCGGUACUGGUACCCCGUGGACAGUGCCUUCAGAAAGUACUCACAACCCUUGACUUUUAUAUAUAUUUAGAUUUGUCACUGGCCUGCACACAAACCCCCAUAAUGUCAAAGUAGAAUGUUUUUCGUAAUUUUUACAAAGCCAAUAAGUAUUCAACCCCUUUGUUAUGGCAAGCCUAAAUACGUUCAGGAGCAUGGACUCACUCUGUGUGCAAUAAUAGUGUUCAUUUAAUAUGAUUUUUGAAUGACUACCUCACCUCUGUGCCCCACACAUACAAUUAUCUGUAAGGCCCCUCGGUCGAGCAGUGAAUUUCAAACACAGAUUCAACACUUUGACAAGGGAGGUUUUCCAAUUCCUUGCAAAAAAGGGCACCUAUUUGUAGAUGGGUAGUAAAAAAGAAAAGCAGACAUUGACUAUCCCUUUUAGCAUGGUGAAGUUAUUCAUUACACUUUGGAUGGUGUAUCAAUACACCCAGUCACUACCAAGAUACAGGCAUCCUUCCUAACUCAGUUGCCAGAGAGGAAGGAAACCACUCAGGGAUUUCACCAUGAGGCCAAUGGUGAAUUUAAACAGUUACAGUUUAAUGGCUGUUAUAGGAUAAAAAUGAGGAUGGCUCAACAACAUUGUAGUUAAUCCACAAUACUAACCUAAUUGACAGAGCGAAAAGAAGGAAGCCUGUACAGAAUCAAAAAUAUUCCAAUACAUGCAUAUUGUUUGCAAAAAGGCACUAAAGUAAUACUGCAAAAAAUGUGGCAAAGCCAUGGGGCAUAUCCAAUGCAACACAUUACUGAGUAACACUCUCCAUAUUUUCAAGCAUAGUGGUGGCUGCAUCAUGUUAUGGGUAUACUUGUAAUCAUUAAAGGUCCCACUCAGUCAUCCUAUUUCCCAAGUAAAAAUUGCCUUUGAAUGACCAAAACAUCCCCCAUAAUAUGUUUACACUAUUAAAAUGCACAGACCUGAAUUUGCUUUACCUUUUCUCUCAUCUCUAACUAUCAGGAAGCCUGAAAGAACCGGCUGAGUGGGCGGGGAGCUUAUAUUCAUGAUCUCGCCUUGAAUGCAGCUCUUUGAAACACCCUUGUGUUCGUUGCAAGGUAACAAGGUCAACAAUGGGCCACAUGUCAUUGAUGACCAGGUGAACAAUGGGCCACGUCAUUCCAAGCGUAAAUAAUAUACCUCACCCCAUUUUCUCAGCAAAUGGCUCUCACGGGCAACAGAACUGAUCAUGGACUUUUGGAUAUCAGUCAAACAGCAGCAACACAAAAUUGCCUUUCUAUAGUUUUUUUAACUCAUUACAGAAUAAAGUUCACUGAUACAUAUCCGUGGGAAGUAGGGGUGCUGAGGGUGCUGCAGCACCCCCUGAAAAAUCAGAAAAAAUAAGUAAAUAAUACAAAUAAAAGACUCACAAAAGUAGUGCAGUGGGCCUUUAAUAGUCCUAUAUUAGUGGAUAUAUCCGUCUACAGCACCAUUCUAUUGGUGCCUCUGCAUUAGUAUUAUAAAUGACAAUAUGUUCCGAAUUUUAUUUAUUGAUCAGACAUAUAUUUGAUCAUUUACAAUAGGCCAGCACAGUCAAAACAUUGCUCAACACGAACAUGCACGAGAAAAAAGGUGAGAAAUAAUGGUGAGACAUAAUUUGACAGAUAAAAAAUAUUAGAGCCAUAAGCCUAAUACAGUAUAAGCAACCGGCCACCCUAGAAGUGUGCAGUUCCACAUUGAUUCGUAAAAUUUGUAACACUCGUCUCCCGUUCGAAUGCUUGAAAAAUACAAUAGAAAGUAACAAAAUGUGACAUCUUAUCAUGUAAAAGUGAAUUACUAAGGCUUUAGGAAAUGCAACCAACUACAGAGAUUGAUAGGGAGGGGAGCGGUGGGGGACCCAUGUGCCGUACUUCAAUCAAACAGGCUUCAGUCACCCCCAAGAUUGAAGCGGUAGACAAAUCCAGCUAUGGCCUCCUCACACUGGGCAGACAGAAGUCCUGGGAUGGACAGUUCGCACAGCUUCCCCACAUACGGCUCUGGAUGAAGGGCGACCUUGCUGAAGAGGAGAUCCAGAAGCCUGUCUACGUAGCCGGCUUCACAGCAUAUCCCCCUUCUUUGCCUUGGGAAAGCUUGUAUCACACCAUUCCUGCUGCGGUGGUUGCCUGGGAAGCUGUGCAGACAGAAUAGAUGUUGAAUUUUCAAAAAUUACAGCUUGAUGAUAAUGGAAAGACAAAAGGAGAUGGAAAGUGAAAUAAUAAUACCCACCCCCUAAUCAUCAUGUUUAGCCCUAAAGACACAAGCUACAUCAACUGUAAGACAACAACCCACACAAUGGAAUGGUAAACUAUUAUUUUCAGGGGUAAAUUACAAAAAGUAUAAACACCGCAACUCCUUUUGUGGACAACAUUCCUUUGUGUCAGCUGUGUGCUGGUAGUUCUCAGACUCAAUGUAGUGGGCUUAGGGAUGGAAGAAUAAAAACCAUAAUGUGUGUUACAGAAAAUAUACUGUUCACAAGUCAAAGCAGCCACAGUUACAGCCACUGUGUAAGACUCAUCAAACUCUGAUACUUACAUUACUGUCAGCGCUUUCAAGAUUCACUGACCUAGGGCUGUGGCGGUCAUGAAAUGUUGUGAGCCGGAGAUUGUCAAGCAAAUAACUGACGGUCUCAUGGAAAUUGACCGUUAAUUAACAUAAACACUGUCACGUCCUGACCAGCAGAGAGCGUAUUGCUUAGUCUUGGUCAGGAUGUGGCAGGUGGUUUGUGUUUGUUGAAUGUUGUGUUGGUGAUUGGGACUUCCAAUUGAAGGCAGGUGUGUAUAGUUGCCUUUGAUUGGAAGUCCUAUAUAGGUGUGUGUGUUUGUCUUUGGGGUUGUGGGGAAUUGUUCUUGCACUGCGUUUUUGUAUGCCUGUAAGACUGUUCCUGUCGUGUGCAUUGUUUUUCCAGU
rnacentral:lncRNA from 1 species